UCGUUCUCACUAAAGGAUCCUCGUUCAGCAAGUCUGGGGUCAGCUUCCUGAACCUGCAUCUGUAAUUUGUAUUUCAGGUGAUUGUUGGGCAGGUGAUCUGCAUCUGCAACUUGGAAAAACAUUUCUUGGAAUGUUUACUGCUUUGUCCCUGCUCAGAAGAUUCAAACCGAAUGAAGCUCCUCUCCGUUCACCAUGAAAGGAGGCUCUGCCAGUUAUUGGCACCCUUAUGCAGGUGUGACUCUUGCUUGUGCUGGCCGCGGCAGGGGAUUUUCUACCCAUGGUGGAGUAAGGGGCUUAUUUUCUGUGUCAUUAUGUCUGCUAGAACAUUUCAAAAAGAAAACCCUUGAUCCCAAAUACCAACUGUGUAUAAAUACUUCUAUUGUAUAAACCCAGAGGCAGUUAAUAUUUUUUAAUGAAGACAAAAGCAUGUAGAAGACAAUUACAUUUAUUUUAAAUCAUAGUUUACACCAAAGUAAUUGAAUUUAAAACUAAUUAAACAAGAAAACAUCAAUUAGAUAUCUAUUUUCUCUCUUGUACAAUUACAUUGUUUUAUUGCCCAUGUUUCAUAAUUGUUACCAAGCAGCUUUUAAAUCCUAUCAUUAGUUUUCCAGAAAAGGAAACUGUGAUGUGUUAUCUGUUCUGGAAUCUAAGGUGUUUUGAUAGGUUUGCUGCUGCUGCUGCAAUUAGGUCCUUUCUACAAAUAGAUGUUCUUGGUACAUUCGAUUUUAUUAGAAAUAUGUGAGCUCAUGGAGAUNNNNNNNNNNNNNNNNNNNNNNNNNNNNNNNNNNNNNNNNNNNNNNNNNNNNNNNNNNNNNNNNNNNNNNNNNNNNNNNNNNNNNNNNNNNNNNNNNNNNNNNNNACUUUGAGCAAAAGACAGACAAUAACUUUGAGAACAAGUUGGUUUCAAGGGUAAAAGAAGCCAAGAUCCUGUUAUUUAAUUCCAUCAGGGAGCAUGCAGGCACAAAAGGAAUGGGGUAUCUGUCAAAAUGAUAUCAACUCUGUAAAUGCAUUCAACUUUGCUCAACCUUCCUCUUAUCCUCCCCUUUUAGGAAUUAGCUACCAUUAGGAAAUAAAUUUGGGCUUCCCAGGUGGUGCUAGUGGUAAAGAACCUUCCUGCCAGUGCAAGAGUUGUAAGAGAUGCAGGUUCAGUCCCUGGGUCAGGAAGAGCCCCUGGAGGAGGGCAUGACAACCCACUGGAGAUCUUACAGACAGAGGAACCUGGCGGGCUACAGACCAUAGGGUCACAAAGAGUCAGACACAAAUGAAGUGACUUAGCACAUAUGCAGGUGAUAAAUUUAAAGAACACUGCUUAAAAAAAACAAUAUUUCCAUAUAGGAAAAACUUUUAUGUUGUUUCGUAUAGAAAUUGUGCUGAUAUAUAAUGCCAUAUGGAAUUCCAAGCUUAAUAGAGAAUAUGGUUGGUAGGUAACCUUUCUUCAUUCUUCAGUGUCCUUAUAGUUAUGACUCUAUUCUUUUUGACAUACGUUUUCCUUCAUUUAGCCUAAUAAUAAUAAUAGCCCAAUUCAUCCAUAAUGAAAUUCUAUGACAUACUCUUUAGUACAUUCUAGAACUUUAUACCAAUUGUCUGUACUUUAAUACCCAUAAUCUCAUUAAUAAAUAUUUUAAAAUCCUGAGGGAAAUUCUAAAUAUUACUUUAAACACCUUAAGAUCUUAUAAUAGAAGCUCGGAAAGAUUAUAUCUAUUCCAAGCUUUACAAGGCUGGUAAACAAGUGAAGGAUACCACAUUGCCACUGGUUUCUCCUGGAAUGCCUUCAAUAUUUAUGUAAGAACACAUGAUUUAACACUUGAAGACUAGCUUGCAUUUCUCCUAAUGAAGUCCCUGAUGCUUUGCUCUUAAGUUAUAAAGUCCUCAAAAUCAGCAUCUUUUGUGCCAAUUGUGGGCAACGGGUAGCAGUACAGAAAUUACACCCUUUUGCCUAACAGAAAAUCUAUUACCCUUUGGGAUCCUUCUUUACUAGAUCUUUUCACUUCUCCUUCCUUAGUUUUUGUUUUUGUCUCAAAUGCCUACCUGUUCACCUGCAGUGAUCCAGCUCUCCAACAGUCUUUGAUGUUUGGCUUAUACCCCUGUGAUCCUCUUGCUGAAAGUCAUGUUCAACUAGGGCGGGCAGUGGUUCUAAUUCUCCACUAAUCACUGUUGGUUACCUUAAAAAAAAAAACAAAACAAAACAAAAAAAGAAAGAAAGAAAGAAAAAACUUUUGUAGUUAAAUUGUGUAAUUGACACUGAAAGAUCUUUGUCAUAACAGCCCUUAUAAAAAAUUUGGCUAGGUUUCAGAGUGCAAACUCAUAGCUAGCUAGCAGGGCUCGAAAAAAAAAAAGUGUAGACAAACGUGUAACAAGGGCAGUUACACGGAAACUCCCAUAAAUAUCAGUGAAGGAGAAAAGUCUAUCCUUUAUAGACACGCUCUUUCUUUAGUCUGGGCCCACCCCCUACUCCCCAGCCAAGAAGUUCCAGAUACCAACAAGAUAUUUGAUCUGAACAGACCUCUAUCUAAUUCUUCAGCUCAAUUUUCUCCUAGAAAAAUACUAAGAGCAGUUGACAUCCUUUCCAUGUUAUACACAGACUUAUCUCUUAAAAUAUGCAAGGAUAGUUGAAAGGGUAAAAAGUCAUGAC
rnacentral:lncRNA from 1 species